GAUGAACGCUGGCGGCGUGCCUAAUACAUGCAAGUCGAGCGAAUGGAUUAAGAGCUUGCUCUUAUGAAGUUAGCGGCGGACGGGUGAGUAACACGUGGGUAACCUGCCCAUAAGACUGGGAUAACUCCGGGAAACCGGGGCUAAUACCGGAUAACAUUUUGAACCGCAUGGUUCGAAAUUGAAAGGCGGCUUCGGCUGUCACUUAUGGAUGGACCCGCGUCGCAUUAGCUAGUUGGUGAGGUCACGGUUCACCAAGGCAACGAUGCGUAGCCGACCUGAGAGGGUGAUCGGCCACACUGGGACUGAGACACGGCCCAGACUCCUACGGGAGGCAGCAGUAGGGAAUCUUCCGCAAUGGACGAAAGUCUGACGGAGCAACGCCGCGUGAGUGAUGAAGGCUUUCGGGUCGUAAAACUCUGUUGUUAGGGAAGAACAAGUGCUAGUUGAAUAAGCUGGCACCUUGACGGUACCUAACCAGAAAGCCACGGCUAACUACGUGCCAGCAGCCGCGGUAA
rnacentral:rRNA from 1 species